UACGUAGGGGGCAAGCGUUGUCCGGAUUUAUUGGGCGUAAAGAGCGUGUAGGCGGCCAGACAGGUCAGCUGUGAAAACUCGAGGCUCAACCUCGAGACGUCGGUUGAAACCGUCGGGCUAGAGUCCGGAAGAGGAGAGUGGAAUUCCCGGUGUAGCGGUGAAAUGCGCAGAUAUCGGGAAGAACACCCGUGGCGAAGGCGGCUCUCUGGGACGGUACUGACGCUGAGACGCGAAAGCGUGGGGAGCGAACAGG
rnacentral:rRNA from 1 species